AACGAACGCUGGCGGCAUGCCUAACACAUGCAAGUCGAACGAGACCUUCGGGUCUAGUGGCGCACGGGUGCGUAACGCGUGGGAACCUGCCCUUAGGUUCGGAAUAACUCCCCGAAAGGGGUGCUAAUACCGGAUAAUGUCUUCGGACCAAAGAUUUAUCGCCUUUGGAUGGGCCCGCGUUGGAUUAGCUAGUUGGUAGGGUAAAAGCCUACCAAGGCGACGAUCCAUAGCUGGUCUGAGAGGAUGAUCAGCCACACUGGGACUGAGACACGGCCCAGACUCCUACGGGAGGCAGCAGUGGGGAAUAUUGGACAAUGGGCGAAAGCCUGAUCCAGCAAUGCCGCGUGAGUGAUGAAGGCCUUAGAGUUGUAAAGCUCUUUUACACGGGAUGAUAAUGACAGUACCGGGAGAAUAAGCGCCGGCUAACUCCGUG
rnacentral:rRNA from 1 species